UAUUGGACAAUGGGGGGAACCCUGAUCCAGCGACGCCGCGUGAGUGAAGAAGUAUCUCGGUAUGUAAAGCUCUAUCAGCAGGGAAGAANGAAAUGACGGUACCUGACUAAGAAGCCCCGGCUAACUACGUGCCAGCAGCCGCGGUAAUACGUAGGGGGCAAGCGUUAUCCGGAUUUACUGGGUGUAAAGGGAGCGUAGGUGGCAAGGCAAGUCAGAUGUGAAAACCCGGGGCUCAACCCCGGGAGUGCAUUUGAAACUGUCCAGCUGGAGUGCAGGAGAGGUAAGCGGAAUUCCUAGUGUAGCGGUGAAAUGCAUAGAUAUUAGGAGGAACACCAGUGGCGAAGGCGCCUUACUGGACUGUAACUGACACUGAGGCUCGAAAGCGUGGGGAGCAAACAGGA
rnacentral:rRNA from 1 species